rnacentral:rRNA from 1 species
UUAGAAGUUUUUGAUCUGGCUCAGGAUGAACGCUGGCGGCGUGCCUAAUACAUGCAAGUCGAGCGAACGGAUAAGGAGCUUGCUCCUUUGAAGUUANCGGCGGACGGGUGAGUAACACGUGGGUAACCUACCUAUAAGACUGGAAUAACUUCGGGAAACCGGAGCUAAUGCCGGAUAACAUUUGGAACCGCAUGGUUUUAAAGUAAAAGAUGGUUUUGCUAUCACUUAUAGAUGGACCCGCGCCGUAUUAGCUAGUUGGUAAGGUAACGGCUUACCAAGGCAACGAUACGUAGCCGACCUGAGAGGGUGAUCGGCCACACUGGAACUGAGACACGGUCCAGACUCCUACGGGAGGCAGCAGUAGGGAAUCUUCCGCAAUGGACGAAAGUCUGACGGAGCAACGCCGCGUGAGUGAUGAAGGUUUUCGGAUCGUAAAACUCUGUUAUUAGGGAAGAACAAAUGUGUAAGUAACUGUGCGCUGUUGUACGGUACCUA